AGAAAGAGGGAGCGGGAGAGAGGAACAGAGGAAGCGAGGGGGGGUGGGAAAAAAAGGAAAAGAAGAUUUUUCUCUAUGUAUAUAAAGAUGGCCACGUUAGCAAACGGACAAGCAGACAAUCCCAGCCUCAGUAGCAACCACACUAACCCCAACACCAACGGGCACAUGAACGGAUUAAAUCACAGUCCAGGGAACACAUCCACCAUUCCCAUGAAGGACCACGAUGCCAUCAAGCUCUUUAUUGGGCAAAUCCCUCGCAACCUGGACGAGAAGGACCUCAAACCUCUCUUUGAAGAGUUCGGAAAGAUCUAUGAACUGACGGUGCUGAAGGACAGGUUUACUGGCAUGCACAAAGGCUGUGCCUUCCUAACAUACUGUGAAAGGGAGUCUGCUCUGAAAGCCCAGAGUGCACUGCACGAACAGAAGACACUGCCAGGGAUGAACAGACCGAUCCAGGUGAAACCAGCGGACAGCGAGAGCCGAGGAGAAGACAGAAAACUCUUUGUGGGUAUGCUCAACAAACAGCAAUCAGAAGACGACGUGCGCCGGCUAUUCGAGGCAUUUGGCAAUAUCGAGGAAUGCACGAUCCUUCGGGGACCAGAUGGCAACAGCAAAGGCUGCGCGUUUGUGAAAUAUUCCUCACAUGCGGAAGCGCAGGCGGCCAUCAAUGCCUUGCACGGAAGCCAGACAAUGCCGGGGGCCUCGUCGAGCCUGGUGGUCAAGUUUGCGGACACAGACAAGGAGCGCACGAUGAGGCGCAUGCAGCAAAUGGCCGGGCAGAUGGGCAUGUUCAACCCCAUGGCGAUACAGUUUGGAGCCUACGGCGCCUACGCCCAGGCACUGAUGCAGCAGCAGGCCGCCAUUAUGGCAUCCGUGGCGCAAGGCGGCUACCUAAACCCCAUGGCGGCCUUUGCAGCAGCUCAGAUGCAGCAGAUGGCAGCGCUAAACAUGAACGGCCUGGCCGCCGCACCCAUGACGCCCACCUCAGGUGGCAGCACACCUCCAGGCAUCACCGCAGCAGCCGUGCCUAGCAUCCCAUCUCCCAUUGGGGUGAACGGUUUCACUGGCCUACCGCCACAGGCUAACGGGCAGCCUGCCGCAGAAGCCGUGUUUGCCAAUGGCAUCCACCCUUACCCAGCACAGAGUCCCACCGCAGCCGACCCUUUGCAGCAAGCCUACGCCGGAGUGCAGCAAUAUGCAGGUCCCGCAUACCCUGCUGCAUAUGGCCAGAUAAGCCAAGCCUUCCCACAGCCGCCUCCCAUGAUCCCGCAGCAACAGAGAGAAGGACCAGAGGGCUGUAACCUGUUUAUCUACCAUCUGCCCCAGGAGUUUGGGGACGCAGAGCUGAUGCAGAUGUUCCUGCCAUUCGGUAAUGUCAUCUCCUCGAAAGUGUUUGUGGAUCGGGCGACAAACCAAAGUAAAUGCUUUGGCUUUGUGAGUUUUGACAAUCCUGCUAGUGCCCAGGCUGCCAUCCAGGCUAUGAACGGCUUCCAGAUUGGCAUGAAGAGGCUGAAGGUGCAGCUGAAGAGGCCAAAGGAUGCUAACCGCCCCUACUGAAGCAUUGUGGGAAACUCUGGAUAAGCAAGGUCUAGCACAGAGCCAGUCAAAUCCACCACAGUCUCGCGCUGAGCUAGGAAAAAAGUUCACGUAAUGACAGGAAAGUGGAGAAUACAGUCCCCCAGUCCGGCGUCAGCUGAAUGGGCCACAUUUAGAGAAAUAUAUAUAUAUAUAUUAAAUAAAUAUAUAUAGGAACGAGAACUGUUGGAUUACACCUUUAACAUAUCAGCAAAUAUCAGUCAAGCUGAAGACUUCAGAUUUACUCUCUUUCUGAUUGUUUAGACUGUACCAUUUCUUUAAGAAAAGUCACGUCAGCUGGGUUCGAAAGGACAUGAGCUUGAAACAGAAACAUAAAUAUCAACAACAACAACAACAAAAAC